UGUAUUUGCUCUUUUCUCUCUUGAUUUUGCUUUCCUUCUCUUCAUGUCCGUAGACUCUUCGCGUUGUGUGGUGGUAUUAUGUUUGUGUGUAACAACGGAACUUUCGCUGCAAGGUUGGAGAGGGAGGGGGUGUGGCGUCGAGUGUGUUGUUUAUCAGCUGUGAUCUGUGCGUGUGAAACUUUUUCAUUGUGCUGAAACGGGUGAGUAAGAGUAAGAUUAGAAACAGAAUGCCGUGUGCAUGUAUACCACAGCCUGAAGACUGAACCACCAGACUUGCUCAGAGCAGGAAUGAAGUACACGUAAUAUAAAUUGGAGCGUGAUUCAAAAAUCUGUUUGCUCUACAAAGUCGAUGAGUGCAUCUAAUCAGUUCUGCAGCGCCAUGGUGAACGUUGGGAGGUGUUGGCACGGAAGACGGAGCGGGAAAAGGUUCACGACAACUAUGCGGUGAGGAGGAUAUCAAUGGAUUGUGCAUUUACAGUUAGCGGGUGAGCCCACCCACAGGUGGGGGGUCAUUACGUUACCGGCGGCUUGCCAGCAAUCAGCAUUGGGUGUUCUUUUUCCGUUCAGUUCUUCCUACCGUCCUUCUGUGUAUAAAGUGCCUUCCAUUAACAUCUCCCGACAACAAGUUGGAGUUGCUUCUAGCACGGAUUAUGAUGGUGCUGUUGCUGAAGAGGAAUGUUGUGUUGCCUGGUUGCACUGGACAGGAUGGUUCACACAGUGUAGUCGAUCUCCUGUUGGUGUCGAUUGUUCCCUUCGAGCCGGAGGCCCAUCCCGGCCGCUCAGUGCGAUAGUGUUAGGUGCUAGAAAUACAAGAUGUAAAUAUAAAAUGGUUACUUUAAAUGUUAAUACAGAAGAGGUGAUUAUAUAUGUUAUA